rnacentral:rRNA from 1 species
GUAGGUGGCAAGCGUUGUCCGGAAUUAUUGGGCGUAAAGCGCGCGCAGGCGGUUCUUUAAGUCUGAUGUGAAAGCCCACGGCUCAACCGUGGAGGGUCAUUGGAAACUGGGGGACUUGAGUACAGAAGAGGAAAGCGGAAUUCCAAGUGUAGCGGUGAAAUGCGUAGAGAUUUGGAGGAACACCAGUGGCGAAGGCGGCUUUCUGGUCUGUAACUGACGCUGAGGCGCGAAAGCGUGGGGAGCAAACAGGAUUAGAUACCCUGGUAGUCCACGCCGUAAACGAUGAGUGCUAAGUGUUAGGGGGUUUCCCGCCCCCCUUAGUGCUGCAGCUAACGCAUUAAGCGCUCCGCCUGGGGAGUACGGCCGCAAGGCUG